GGGUGACUGCGGAGGUCAUUACUGAGUUUUGAAGUGGGCUUGAUGCUGGCAUCUUUUUGAUGCAUGUGCUCAGCCCCGCUCUCAAAUCCACUCAACACCUGUGCACUUUCAAAGUUGUAGUCCUCCGUAAUGGGAGUCGCAAGUCUUUUUUGACUUGCUGGGACUGCGCUUUGCCAUUUAUCACAAACGAUAUUCAUUGUUUUGUAGAAUGUCUAGCCUCAUUGUAGGUGAAACUUAAUACAACUUUCAACAACGGAUCUCUUGGCUCUCGCAUCGAUGAAGAACGCAGCGAAAUGCGAUAAGUAAUGUGAAUUGCAGAAUUCAGUGAAUCAUCGAAUCUUUGAACGCACCUUGCGCUCCUUGGUAUUCCGAGGAGCAUGCCUGUUUGAGUGUCGUGAAAUUAUCAACUCCUAUUCUUUAUUGAAUGGUGAGCUUGGAUUUGGAGAUUGCUGGUGAAAAUCGGCUUCUCUUGAAUGAAUUAGCUGGAAUUUGAUUCGCAGCAUAUAUGCGGUGUGAUAAUGUCGUCACUGUGUAGCUCGGAUUGUCUGGCUUCUAAUCGUCUUUCAUGGACAAUUUGAUCAUUUUGACCUCAAAUCAGGUAGGACUACCCGCUGAACUUAAGCAUAUCAAAAAGGGGGGGAGAAA
rnacentral:rRNA from 1 species